rfam:Myotis lucifugus cont2.11695, whole genome shotgun sequence.
GAGACACCCCUAUGGAGCAGGACUUGCUUCAGUGGGACUUUGGUGCUCACUGAGUCCGCCCUUUGAGUGUGUCACU